UAUCUCUGUAGAGUCUGCAUAUCAAUAAGCGGAGGAAAAGAAACUAACAAGGAUUCCCUUAGUAACGGCGAGUGAAGCGGGAAGAGCUCAAAUUUGAAAUCUUCAAGGUUCUACCUUGACGAAUUGUAGUUUAAAGAAGUGUUUUCUGUUAGAUGAGUAGCAAAAGUUCCUUGGAAUGGGACAUCAUAGAGGGUGAGAAUCCCGUAUUUGGUUAUUCAUUCUAGCUUUGUGAUACACUUUCAAAGAGUCGGAUUGUUUGGGAAUGCAGUCCAAAAUGGGUGGUAAAUUUCAUCUAAAGCUAAAUAUUGGCGAGAGACCGAUAGCGAACAAGUACCGUGAGGGAAAGAUGAAAAGAACUUUGAAAAGAGAGUUAAACAGUACGUGAAAUUGUCAAAAGGGAAGCGUUUGACACCAGUGUUGUCUUUCCGAAAAUCAAUUACAAAUGGCUUGAUUUUGUGUUGUAUUGACCUUAUCAGCUUUCUUCACUUUUUUCGAGUCUUUCUUAAUGCACUUUUUGGUUAACAAGUCAACAUCAAUUUCUUUUGUUGUAAAAGAGUAUUCGGAAGGUGGCUUUCUUUUCGGAGAAAGUGUUUAUAGCCCUAUACUUCUACAAUCGGAGAGAUUGAGGUCUGCAGCGUAGAUCCUUCGGGGUUAGAUACACUUGUGCUAAGUUGUAGCUUUUCAUAGACAACUUGUUGACUAUGUUUAGUCAUGCGGCUUACUCGCUUGUGCUAUUUUACCUACGCUUAGGAUGUUGACUGAUAUGUAGUCGUA
rnacentral:rRNA from 1 species